CUUUGUCCUUCUCUCUCCACUCUGCAGCGAUUUGUGCAAAAUUCCCUGAAACCAGCUGUGUAAUUUCAGCACAGGCCAAAAGGCAUCCUGCCUUAAUGAGAACCACCUGGACCUUCGCAGGCUGUCGCUCCCACUUCCCUUUGUCUUAGUGUGAGUUUUGGAGUGAGCUUCUUUUUUUUUUUUUGUCAUUUUCUAUAAAAUAACACAAAUUUAUACCGGAAGACGAACCUGAACGUACACAGUAACAUGACUCUCAUUUCCUACCGGUUAUAUGGGAAGAAGUGGGAGAAAAGCAACACGUUUAAACAGCAGUCUUGAUGCCACUUCCGUUAUCUGCCGUAGGAUCUUCAACUUGGUGCUCUCUUCCUCCUCAAGCACGAACCCCUCUAGCUCUUCCUGCCCUACUUCUAAUUCCUCAUCAGGUGGUUCAUAGUCUUCAUCACCCAACUCAAAGUCUUCCUCGAGAUGCAUCUCAGGCUCCAGCUCAAGCUUUUUGUCUUUCUCCUCCCCCUCUUCCUCCUCCUCGUCAUCAUCCUGCUCCUAUAAAGAUGUGAGGGAGAAGAGUAAAGAUGAAAUCUGAUGCAUUUAUGAUACAUAAUUAUUCGGCUGCAUGAGCAAGACAUAAAUAUCAAUAACAUGAUAUAGUUAUUCCAAGGCUAAUGUUAGAUCCUCACAGGGUCUUGUAUGGCAGAUGCUCACCAUAAACAGUGAUGUUUUCUGUG